CGUUGAAACAUUGGUUGCCGUGCGAUCACCGAAAUUAGGCAACGUCGAGCCUGGUCAGUACUAAGAUGGGUAACCGCAUGGUAAAGCCAGGUGCUGUAA